rnacentral:rRNA from 1 species
GACGAACGCUGGCGGCGUGCUUAACACAUGCAAGUCGAACGAGUGGCGGACGGGUGCGUAAUGCUUGGGAAUCUGGCUUAUGGAGGGGGAUAACUACGGGAAACUGUAGCUAAUAACGCGUACCAUAGAAUGGGCCCAAGUGGGAUUAGGUAGUUGGUGAGGUAAAGGCUCACCAAGCGGACGAUCUCUAGCUGGUCUGAGAGGAUGACCAGCCACACUGGGACUGAGACACGGCCCAGACUCCUACGGGAGGCAGCAGUGGGGAAUAUUGCGCAAUGGGGGCAACCUGACGCAGCAAUGCCGCGUGAAUGAAGAAGGCCUUCGGGUUGUAAAGUUCUUUCGGUAGCGAGGCGUUAACUACAGAAGAAGCACCGGCUAACUCCGUGCCAGCAGCCGCGGUAAUUC